UAAAUGUAUUAAAAUUCAUUGAGUAAUUAAAAAAAUAAAAUUAUCUUAAAAAAGGAAAAAAAUUAAAUAAGUAUUUAAAAAUGAAAGAAAAAAAUUUACUAUCUCAGAUUCACUGGGGGUUGGAAAUUUUCACAGGUUUGCAAGAGAUAACUGUUAAAGUGAAAAUAACUUUGAGAAAAAAAAAAUUUCAUAAGCUAACUAUCCUCAAACAUGGCAAUGGGACCAUCUGGAGAGGUUUUUUUCCACCUACUAAGUCAGAAUCUCUGGAUUGAGACCUGGACUUUCCUAUUUUAAUUUCAACUUUCUGGAUGACUCUAUGCCCAAGUUUUGGAACCAGGGGCUUAUCCCAUCCUCAGUUAAUAAUUCAGAGAUUCAUCAACAACUGAGAGAUAAUGAUAAUGAAUGAUACUCUGUGAGAAGGAGAAGGGAAGAGCAAGAAUGGGAAGGCUCUGGAAAUUCCAUGGAAAGGCUUGAAAAGGAACAUGGCUCCUUCUCAAUCUCUUGCUUAGUAGUGACCUCACAAUGGCCAUCUGCAAACAUAAGAUCUUUCAUUAGCUCUUUCAGAGCAGACACCUUAUGGAAAUGUCCUGACCCCUUCUCUUUCUAAUUGUCAGGAAAUAUUACGUAGCAUUUUAUUUUUAUCUUUCUGCUUUCCCCUAAUGUAUAGGAUUAAAAUAGCAGAGUUGGAUGUGAGGGUUGAAAUAAUCUAACAAAUCUAAGGAGACAUCCUCCAAAUGUUUAAAAGACUCCAUCCUCACUUCCAGGCAGGUCUAUGGAACUUCUGGGAAAGGUGCUGGUUCCAGGUAUCAAGACUGAAAGAGGGGCAAUCUGCAGCAUCCUGCAGCUUCCUUUCUCUGUGUGAAUGAGACCUUCAGAUCAGGGGCCUGUUCCUUACAUCUAAUUUCAUCCUUUCUGCUUGAUGUCAGGUCUAUUUUUUCUGGUUUUCUGCCUUCUGGAGAAAUGGAGAACAGCUGGUUGGGGACCUCUUGAUCCCUGAAGGCUGAAGAAUAUCCCCAUUAACAUUCUUUUUUUUUUCAGACUAAAUAACUCUGAUUUCCAUAACCUUUCUUAGGGUCUCAUUUCUUAUUCCUUUAUUUUUAUAGCUCUCUUUUGGAUGUAGUUUCUUAUAACAAGAAACGAUUCAAUGCCAAAUUCAACCAAAGAGUUCUUUUCUGUUUUUUCUAAGAUAUUCUCCAAUUAAAAUGGUCAUCCUCAUUUUUAGAAAACACUGCUGGCAAUGGCUAAUUCAGAUUCAAUUUGUGGUCCACAUGUUCUUGGAUUAUUGGGGAAAGCUACUUGGUGUAGAGAAAACAGCUCUAAGCUAGAAAUCUGGGUAUUUGUAUUUGAGACCAAAUUUUGUCACAAUUUUUUACUUCUUAAAAUGUAUUUGGCUUAUAUAGCUAUGGAGCCAAAUAUCUAUAAAGUGAAUCAGAUGAACUAGUUGACCUUUAAAUUCACUCCCACUAUAAAUUCUUAUUCCUUUUUUCUAAAAUUUUGAUUCAUUUAUAUUUCACAAUAAAGUAACUGGAACUCCCACAACACUUGAUUUGUACAUUUCACAUAAUUGUAUCGCUUUCUGCCUAUAAUAUAAUCUUUAGACCAUAUAAUGCAUGCCACACCUUUCCUACUGCAGUUUAUUUUUAAUCUUCUUAGGUUAGACUCAGUGGAAUAGAAUUUGAUGUGGGCCAAGUCACCAGAAUUCAAAAGAGACGUCACUGACAUUUAUAUUCCCACAGAGAUUGCUUCCAUGACCCAGAGGUUCAGGAGUGACCUGGCCAUUCUAAUAAAAUUCUGCCCACAGAGUGAGGAUAUGUUUUGAGCACCAGUGUCACACGCUAGCCCUCACCCUCCUUGUUUUUAGCUCAUAGUGAAACAAACUGAUGCUGCUUCUGAUGAGUUGGAGGCCAAGGACUCUAAAGAACGGAACAAGAAGCACCCUCUUAUCUGAAGAUGAUACAAUUUUAUUAUCACAGACUAGAAAUGGCCUUCUAAGAAAAUUGUCCUUGUGAUCUGGUUCCUUCCAGAGAGAAUGGUUACGAAUUAACUAUUCUCAGAUCAAGGUCACUAUUUCUGGUAAUCAUCUCCCAAUUUCUUCCAGACUUUUAGCUAGGUACAGAGUCAGUGAAGCAUCUUUCUAUAAGUAUGGUCUCUGGGGUUGCUCUGCCAGAGAUUGAAACUUGGUUCCACCUCACAGGCAUUGAAUGACAUUUAUUUAACAGCUCUUGGCCUCAGUUUGUUCACCUGUAAACUGGAGCUGUUCUUUUCUCACAAGGUUGUUGUGAGGACUGAAUGGAUUUACACAUAAAAUGCUUAAAACGAUGCUCAAUAAAUAUUAACUAUUUAUACAUGGUCACUUCCUGUUUGCCAGAUGAUGUCAUCCAUUACUACACAGUUGUUAAUCUUGCGAGAAAUUCAAAAAAGCUCAAUUACUCAAAGCUAAGGAUUUUGUAGGGAUUAUUACUAUGUAGUUUUUGCUUCGAGUUUUUGAUUGUUGUUGAAUCUUCCAAAUGUUUACUAAUCUACUUGGUUAUGCCUACUUUAAAUGCUCCCAUAUUAAAAUUAUUGUGGCAGUGCUCAGUGGUGUAAACCUUGGGAAUCUCUCAUCUAUUUAUCUCUGAGUCAGUGAACAUCCAAAAUAACCUGAGGAUACUCCUGGCACUGCCUUCCCUUGGCUCACUCAGGCUAACAGGGGUGGUUUUUAGUUUGGCAUAGUCCUUGUCUGGUUCCUAAAUUUUUAUAACAGUGUAUUAAUGCUACCCCUAGAUUGACUGAUUUUUAAAACAUAUGGUUUUGUAAUAAACUUGUAACACUGGAGACCUGCAUUCCAGAUAUUUGUCAAAAGGUAUGAUUUCUAGUAUAUUGCUGCAAGUUAUAAAGAUAUCAAAAGUCCUGCUGAGAAAAAUAAUAUUCAUAGAAGAUUGUGUCUCUUUCCAUUCUCUUAGGUCAGUGGUUUCCCAGAUUUUUAUAUUUCGCAGACUAGUUUUAAAAAAAUUUAUGAUGGUUAGUGACAUAGGUUGCUAACUAAUUUUACCAAGUAAGAAUGUAACAGACAGUCUUCUAGUUUGAAGUUUCAUGGAAAGUUAGUGUUAUAGAAAAUUCACUACUGACUGCACUGUUUUUCAUUUUAUUUAUUUAUUUAUUUUUUAACUGCACUGAUUUUUUUUUUUUUUUUCAUCAUGAACCCAUGGAACUUUCAUCACUGACUACCAGACUGGCACUGGAGAACAAGUAGGUAAUUUACAACUUAUCUCUGGAUGAAACCAGAUCACCAGUGACCUCACCUGGGAUACAUCAUUGCAGGAGCCAUCAAGACCAUGAGUGAAGGAGGAAUUUCAAGUGCUGUAGAAAAGCCAGUAGCAAGACACUGGGGGAGAAGGGCCCUUGAACUAGUGUUUGUCCAACCGCAGAUCCCAAUCUAUUAGGGGGUUGUAAAAUUAGAAGUAUAACUAACUAUUUUACAAAUAAAAAAUUAACUUCUA